AGUAACGCGUGGGUAACCUGCCUCACACUGGGGGAUAACAGUUAGAAAUAGCUGCUAAUACCGCAUAAGCGCACAGCUCUGCAUGGAGCAGUGUGAAAAACUCCGGUGGUGUGAGAUGGACCCGCGUCUGAUUAGCCAGUUGGCGGGGUAACGGCCCACCAAAGCGACGAUCAGUAGCCGGCCUGAGAGGGUGAACGGCCACAUUGGGACUGAGACACGGCCCAAACUCCUACGGGAGGCAGCAUG
rnacentral:rRNA from 1 species